AGAGUUUGAUCAUGGCUCAGGAUGAACGCUAGCGGCAGGCUUAAUACAUGCAAGUCGAGGGGGAUUAACUGGGUAGCAAUACUCGGUUAUGAGACCGGCAAACGGGUGCGGAACACGUACGCAACCUUCCCAAAACUGGUGAAUAGCCCUCCGAAAGGAGGAUUAAUACACCGUAACAUAAUGAAGUGGCAUCACUUUAUUAUUAUAGCUCCGGCGGUUUUGGAUGGGCGUGCGCCUGAUUAGGUAGUUGGCGGGGUAACGGCCCACCAAGCCUACGAUCAGUAACUGGUGUGAGAGCACGACCAGUCACACGGGCACUGAGACACGGGCCCGACUCCUACGGGAGGCAGCAGUAAGGAAUAUUGGUCAAUGGACGCAAGUCUGAACCAGCCAUGCCGCGUGAAGGAUGAAGGCCCUCUGGGUUGUAAACUUCUUUUAUCUGGGACGAAAAAGGGACUUUCUAGUUCAACUGGAGGUACCAGAGGAUAAGCACCGGCUAACUCCGUGCCAGCAGCCGCGGUAAUAC
rnacentral:rRNA from 1 species